rnacentral:rRNA from 1 species
CCUACGGGUGGCAGCAGUGGGGAAUAUUGGGCAAUGGGCGCAAGCCUGACCCAGCAACGCCGCGUGAAGGAAGAAGGCUUUCGGGUUGUAAACUUCUUUUCUCAGGGACGCAGAAAGUGACGGUACCUCAGGAAUAAGCCACGGCUAACUACGUGCCAGCAGCCGCGGUAAUACGUAGGUGGCAAGCGUUAUCCGGAUUUAUUGGGUGUAAAGGGCGUGUAGGCGGGAAAGCAAGUGAGAUUUGAAUACUCAGGGCUCAACCCUGGGCCUGCAUUGGACACUGUUUUUCUUGAGUGCUGGGGAGGCAAUCGGAAUUCCGGGUGUAGCGGUGAAAUGCGUAGAUAUAAGGAGGAACACCAGUGGCGAAGGCGGACUGCUGGACAGCAACUGACGCUGAGGCGCGAAAGCGUGGGGAGCAAACAGGAUUAGAUACCCCAGUAGUC